UACAGAGGUCUCAAGCGUUGUUCGGAUUCAUUGGGCGUAAAGGGUGCGUAGGCGGCGCGGUAAGUCGGGUGUGAAAUCUCGGGGCUUAACUCCGAAACUGCAUUCGAUACUGCCGUGCUUGAGGACUGGAGAGGAGACUGGAAUUUACGGUGUAGCGGUGAAAUGCGUAGAUAUCGUAAGGAAGACCAGUGGCGAAGGCGGGUCUCUGGACAGUUCCUGACGCUGAGGCACGAAGGUAAGGGGAGCAAACGGG
rnacentral:rRNA from 1 species